CAUGCAAGUCGAACGGUAACAUUGGUGCUUGCACCAGAUGACGAGUGGCGCACGGGUGCGUAACGCGUAUGCAAUCUACCUUUUACUGAAGAAUAGCCCAGAGAAAUUUGGAGUAAUCCUUCAUAACAUCAUUUAUCAGCAUUGAUUUAUGAUUAAAGCUCCGGCGGUAAAAGAUGAGCAUGCGUCCUAUUAGUUUGUUGGUGAGGUAACGGCUCACCAAGACUACGAUAGGUAGGGGCCCUGAGAGGGGGAUCCCCCACACUGGUACUGAGACACGGACCAGACUCCUACGGGAGGCAGCAGUGAGGAAUAUUGGACAAUGGAGGCAACUCUGAUCCAGCCAUGCCGCGUGCAGGAUGACUGCCCUAUGGGUUGUAAACUGCUUUUAUAUAGGAAGAAACACUCCCACGUGUGGGGGCUUGACGGUACUAUAUGAAUAAGGAUCGGCUAACUCCGUGCCAGCAGCCGCGGUAAUACGGAGGAUCCAAGCGUUAUCCGGAAUCAUUGGGUUUAAAGGGUCCGCAGGCGGCCUGUUAAGUCAGAGGUGAAAGCCAACAGCUCAACUGUUGAACUGCCUUUGAUACUGAUAGGCUAGAGUUAUUGUGAAGUGGUUAGAAUGUGUGGUGUAGCGGUGAAAUGCUUAGAUAUUACACAGAAUACCCAUUGCGAAGGCAGAUCACUAACAAUAUACUGACGCUCAUGGACGAAAGCGUGGGGAGCGAACGGGAUUAGAUACCCCGGUAGUCCACGCCGUAAACGAUGGAUACUAACUGUUCGACCUUCGGGUUGAGUGGUCAAGCGAAAGUGAUAAGUAUCCCACCUGGGGAGUACGCUCGCAAGAGUGAAACUCAAAGGAAUU
rnacentral:rRNA from 1 species